rnacentral:rRNA from 1 species
UACGUAGGGUGCGAGCGUUGUCCGGAAUUAUUGGGCGUAAAGGGCUCGUAGGCGGUUUGUCGCGUCGGGAGUGAAAGCCCAGGGCUUAACCCUGGGUCUGCUUCUGAUACGGGCAGACUAGAGGUAUGUAGGGGAGAACGGAAUUCCUGGUGUAGCGGUGAAAUGCGCAGAUAUCAGGAGGAACACCGGUGGCGAAGGCGGUUCUCUGGGCAUUACCUGACGCUGAGGAGCGAAAGUGUGGGGGGCGAACAGG